rnacentral:rRNA from 1 species
CCUACGGGAGUCAGCAGUGGGGAAUAUUGCACAAUGGGGGAAACCCUGAUGCAGCGACGCCGCGUGAGUGAGGAAGUCUUUCGGUAUGUAAAGCUCUAUCAGCAGGGAAGAAAACGACGGUACCUGACUAAGAAGCCCCGGCUAACGACGUGCCAGCAGCCGCGGUAAUACGUAGGGGGCCAGCGUUAUCCGGAUUUACUGGGGGUAAAGGGAGCGUAGACGGCUAAUCAAGUCAGAAGUGAAAACCAAGGGCUCAACCUUGGGACUGCUUUUGAAACUGAGUAGCUAAAGUGCAGGAGAGGUAAGCGGAAUUCCUAGUGUAGCGGUGAAAUGCGUAGAUAUUAGGAAGAACACCAGUGGCGAAGGCGGCUUACUGGACUGUAACUGACGUUGAGGCUCGAAAGCGUGGGGAGCAAACAGGAUUAGAUACCCUGGUAGUC